rnacentral:tRNA from 1 species
GAAAGUCUAAUUUAUCCAAUAAAAUAUGAAGUUGUCGUCUUCAAAAAGCUCUCCAAGCGACUUUCU